rnacentral:lncRNA from 1 species
AACCACAUUAAAGUCACUUCACUCUCAGAGGGGCUCCCUUAGAUUCUCUCUACUUUGCUCACUUUGAGGCGGCGGCAACAGCCUUCAAACUGGCUGUCUUUUGUCUAUUCUUCUGGCUUAUUACAUUCUCCUGGCAACCUUGCUUACCACUCACCUGCCCCAGCUACAACCAUCUGAAGUUGGCACUAUUAUCAUCCACGUUUUACAUAGGAGGAGGUCAUACACCUAGACUACAAAGACUUGUGUUUGACUUGGCAGAUCGAAGUUAUGAACUUUGGAUAACUGGUCAUGUCACUGAGAAGCUUUUAUGACUGACCAAAUAUUACUCAGUAUUAUUUUUUAAAUUAAUAGAUUGGUUAGAAUAAGGGGUCAGCUGCAUGUAAGAGACCCAAAUUAACAGUGGCUAAGAAAUGCAAUAAAAUGAAGAUAAAUAGCUGGGACCUAAUUAAAUUAAAGAGCUUUUGCACAGCAAAAGGAACAGUCAGCAGAGUAAACAGAC